CUCCCUGUGUUCUUGGCACCUCUCUCUUGUGGCCAUCUUCUUCCCUUUCUGCCUAGCUACAGAAGAGUGUGUUCUUGUUUUUGACAAAAUUGUCAUUGUGUAGUUGCUACCAGCUUCUGAUUUGCACGGGUAACAGUU